UGCAGUCGAACGGGAUCCUUUCUAGCUUGCUAGGGGGGUGAGAGUGGCGAACGGGUGAGUAACGCGUGAUUAACCUGCCGUGUAGUUUGGAAUAGCUCCUGGAAACGGGUGGUAAUGCCGAAUGUUCCACAUGCUCGCAUGGGUGUGUGGGAAAACGUUUUAGUGCUAUGCGAUGGGAUCGCGUCCUAUCAGCUUGUUGGUGGGGUAGUGGCCUACCAAGGCUUCGACGGGUAGCCGGCCUGAGAGGGCGACCGGCCACAUUGGGACUGAGAUACGGCCCAGACUCCUACGGGAGGCAGCAGUGGGGAAUAUUGCACAAUGGGGGGAACCCUGAUGCAGCGACGCCGCGUGCGGGAUGACGGCCUUCGGGUUGUAAACCGCUUUUAUUGGGGAGCAAGCGUGAGUGAGUGUACCUUUUGAAUAAGCACCGGCUAACUACGUGCCAGCAGCCGCGGUAAUACGUAGGGUGCAAGCGUUGUCCGGAAUUAUUGGGCGUAAAGAGCUCGUAGGCGGUUUGUCGCGUCUGGUGUGAAAGUCCAUCGCUUAACGGUGGAUUGGCGCUGGGUACGGGCAGGCUAGAGUGUAGUAGGGGAGACUGGAAUUCUCGGUGUAACGGUGGAAUGUGUAGAUAUCGGGAAGAACACCAAUGGCGAAGGCAGGUCUCUGGGCUAUUACUGACGCUGAGGAGCGAAAGCGUGGGGAGCGAACAGGAUUAGAUACCCUGGUAGUCCACGCCGUA
rnacentral:rRNA from 1 species